rnacentral:snRNA from 1 species
GUGCUCGCUUUGGCAGCACAUAUACUAAAACUGGAACGAUACAGAGAUUAGCAUGGCUCCUGUGCAAGGAUGACACGCAAAUUUGUGAAGCGUUCCAUAUUUUU